AAUUGACAAGGAAACUAAAGUCUAUUGCAUUGAUAAGAAAGUAACAUUGUUGGAUCAAUCCUACCGGAAAUUCCAGUCAUGUCAGAAAAGUUCAAAACUCAAUCUCAAGUUGCUUCUUUACCUAAGUCUUAACCCUCAACCUACAUGCUUUCUUAACCAGGACCAAAGCAGAAGUCCAACAAAAAAGAUGACCAAAUGACCAAAGAAAGGUUAAACACAACAAACCAAUAAUAACUCCAAUUAAUGACAGGGUGGUGGUAGAGAUAUCCUACAACAAACACCCACCUAAACUGAAGCUACUUCCAAACAGGUUAUAUCUCUUGGCAUUGGGAAUCAGUAACUACCUAACUUACUACCUAGGAUAUAAUAUAGGUUUCAAAGACAAUCUUCAUAUUAAGUGCCAAAGAUUUUCCCAACCUAAGUACAUUCAUAAAAAAAUUCUAUCAAAUCACACAAUAAUGUUCUGUCGAUAAACAUUUUAAAAAGCCUCAAAACCAACAGUAUUAAUAUUUAUUAAUUCCGA
rnacentral:misc_RNA from 1 species